rnacentral:rRNA from 1 species
UGGGGAAUUUUGGACAAUGGGGGCAACCCUGAUCCAGCCAUGCCGCGUGCGGGAAGAAGGCCUUCGGGUUGUAAACCGCUUUUGUCAGGGAAGAAAAGACUCCUACUAAUACUGGGGGUUCAUGACGGUACCUGAAGAAUAAGCACCGGCUAACUACGUG